CACAUACUUAAUCACUCAACUGAACUUAACUUAACUGAACCAAUAUAACAGAAAUUGGACUAAACUGGUAUCCACUUAACUUCACCUAUCAUUAACAGUUAAAACUCAUUUCACUAAGUCAUUUCCUUCACUAACAAAAUUUAACAAACCUAACCAACAUCUCACUGAGUUCAAGACAGCUAACUAACUAAGUUUGUAGUUAACUCAGUGAAUCGCUUCUAACUAAAUCAUAACCUCACUCCAAUCCUCCAUUUGAUCUGGAUCUCCUCUCUAUAUAAUCUCCUUUUCACCCUCAUUCCAUGACUACUGACAGUCUGACACACACUGAACAAUACUCUCAUUUUUGCUCUCAUAAUUUAUGUAAUCUUUCUCAAUUACCCUGACUUAAAGCUCCUCUUCAGCAGUCAUUGAAGCUUCAACAUGCCUGAGCGACGGACGUGAGUCAAGCUCAGGGGAGGGAAUUUUAAACUUUUGA
rnacentral:lncRNA from 1 species